rnacentral:lncRNA from 1 species
GCAUUCAUGUUGUGUGAUUUUUCUUUCUCUUUUUUUUUCUCGUGCAUCACUUAUACUCUAGGGGUUAAUUUCACUCUUUUGACUCUUUUUUCUACUCAAUUCUUUGCGAGCAUUUUAUAGGUGUUAGAGUUUUAAGUCUCGGCAAGUGCAUUUUUCUCUUUUGUUUUUUUUUUCUUUUUGGACAUACACAAAUCUUUUCUUUU